UCUCUCCCCCACAGCAGCCAUCACUGUUGCAAUCAGAACACCACGCCAAGGGGCGGCCUCUUGAUUUUCUUGGUGUGCACUAUGAGGUGCUAAAGGGGCUGGUGCUGUUGAUGCUCCACUCAGAUUCCAAGUAUCACUUUGACUGGCUUGUUGAGCACAUUCCCAAACUGCCACCUACAUUGCCGCUGCUGAUUCACACCUAUAACCUUCUUUGGAGAACUUUCCUUGGGCAUUUGUAGCUGCUUUGCUUGCUUUGCGGUUCUCCUUCUUAUUCACUACUGUGCUUCGGUGCCUCCCUCUCCUCCCUGUGCUUCUGAUUCCCCAUCCAUAAAAUGGAAAAAAUAGUGUGUGCCUUACAGGAUCGUUGGAGUAUUAAUGCAACAAUUGUCAGAGUAUCAUGCAGGGCACAGGGUAGUUGUGACAUUCAAAUGAGGUAACUUCUGUGAAUGCACUUUGAAAGCAGAAUUCCAUUCAGAAAGCAAACAGAGCCUGGUAUGUGGAGACUCAAUAAAAUGUGUUGAAUAAAUGAAACUGCAUCUUCAAGGAGACAGAACUGACAAACUAAGAGGCCCUGAUAGAGCACGUGAUGUAUUUACAGUGACUGAAAGCUUGGUUUCUGUUAGCCUGGGACGUUCUCUCUGCGUAUACUAUUUCUGUUGAGAAGUCAGCUGUCAGUCUGAUUGUUGCACCCUUGAAGAGAUGUGGCUGGCCACAGUUAGAUGGUGGACUUCUUUCAUUAAAGCUCUGAAAAUAAGCACUGACUCCAACUAAUCAAUGACUUGACCUGCAAAGAAGAAUUUCAUUGGAAAAAGCUUUUCACAGGAAUAAAAGCAAGUCUAUUGGUGGAAAGCAAGGAAGCAGAUCUAUUGCACACAGAGCAGACUACCAACGAACGUGAUUACAUUAUUAAGCCAGGAACACCUCCAGAUAUUUGGUGACCUAACUUUUUCCUUUUGUUUUCAAGACAUAAAGUCUACAAGUGUCUGUGAGAGUGAAGAAAAGUCAUUGUAGCUAAAGGUUCAUCCAAAUAAUGAUGAUUUAAAAAAUCAUAUCGGUCAU
rnacentral:lncRNA from 1 species